rnacentral:rRNA from 1 species
AGAGGUCCCGCCUGCCCUGUGAUAAUUAUUUAACGGCCGCGGUAUUUUGACCGUGCAAAGGUAGCGCAAUCACUUGUCUUUUAAAUGAAGACCUGUAUGAAUGGCUUGACGAGGGCUUAACUGUCUCCUUUUUCCAGUCAAUGAAAUUGAUCUUCCCGUGCAGAAGCGGGGAUAUAACCAUAAGACGAGAAGACCCUAUGGAGCUUUAAACUAAAGCAGAUCUUGUUAAACGCAUCUAAUUAAAGAAAUAAACUUAAAAGAACCCUGUCAUUUAUGUUUUUGGUUGGGGCGACCAUGGGGAAACAAACAACCCCCAUGUGGACUGAGAAAACAGUUCUCACAACAAAGAGCCACAGCUCUAAUUAACAGAACUUCUGACCUUNGAGAUCCGGCAAUGCCGAUCAACGGACCCAGUUACCCUAGGGAUAACAGCGCAAUCCCCUUUUAGAGUUCAUAUCGACAAGGGGGUUUACGACCUCGAUGUUGGAUCAGGACAUCCUAAUGGUGCAGCAGCUAUUAAGGG